UAAGAUCAAUAAUUUAAUUAAAAGAUAUCGAGGUUCUAAAUUACCUUAGGAUUUGGUUUAGGAUUUAAGAUUUAAUUAGGACUUGGUUGAAGGUUUAGGAUUUGUCUAGGAUUUGGUUUAGGUUUUAGGAUUUGGCUAGGAUUUGAUUUAGGGUUUAAAAAUAAAUUAUAGUUUUAUUUAAGAUUUAGAACUUGCUUAGAAUUUGAUUAGGAUUUGGUUUAGGAUUUAGGAUUUUUUUAAGAUUUUCUUUAGGAUUUAGGAUUUGGCUAGAGUUUGGAUUGGGUUUAGGAUUUUUCUAGAAUUUUAUUAGGAUUUGGUUUAAGAUUUAGGAUUUGAUUAGGAUUGGAUUUAGGAUUUAGGAUUCGUCUAGGAUUUGAUUUAAAGCUUAAGAUUUAAUUUAGGACUUAAGGUUUAUCUAGGAUUUGAUUGAAGUCCAUUAGGAUUUUACAUAUGAUUAAAUUAGAACUUGAUUGAGAUUUAUUUAAGAUAUAUUGUGAUUAUUUUAACAUUUUUUAGGGCUUCUUAAGGAUUUUUUUAAGAUUUAUUGUGGAUUAUCUUUCAACUCGUUUAAGAUUUCUUAUUGUUUCUUUUGAAAUAUUGUUAAGGUUUCUUUUGAAUUUGAUUAAAGAUUUUUUAGCAUUUUUAAGGUUUAAUUAGAUUUUAUUUAGUAUUCUAUUAGA
rnacentral:lncRNA from 1 species